CCGCUGCGAUUGGAGGGGGCCCCCAGCCGCCCGGCUCCACCACUGCCCACGCUGGGGCUCCCGGACUGCGGCCGCGCGGUGCCGGAGCACGAGGGGCACCUCCUCCCGGACCCGGGGUGCAGAAACCCGGCGGAGGCAGGUUCUUGUGAGCAUCCCACGGAAAGGAGCGAGAAGCCGCCACCCUAGCUAACAGCAUUAACAACCACAACCGUCAGGAAUUCUGUUGCCUACGCCUGAAUGCGCAGUGUUUCAGCUGGAGGUAGAAGAUUCUGAGGCACCAGGGCAGGAAAUGGCAAGCCACAAGCCGGAAAGACCCUGGGUCCCUUGAUCACAAUCUGGAAAAGAACCAGAACACUCAUAUUCAACUGUUACAGUGAUUGAGUAAUCAACUUCUGGCAUAUAAUAAGCCACUGAAAUGUGCAAGUUUAUUUGUUGUGGUAGUUCAUGUCAUCCCAACACACCCAUCAACCAAGCCAAACUCCACCAGAGCAUAAUUUUUUCUUUAAAUAGAUACAAUUAAAAUAAUAAAAUAGGCCUAUGUAUGUCAAAAAGACUAUAGCUCCAAAACAAAGGCUAUGUUAAAAAAAAAAAAGGCCAGAGCAAUAAUUUUUAAAUUGAAGUGUAAUUUAUUUAUAGUAAAAUUGGCAAAUUCUAAGUGUUUAGUUUGAUUAAAUUUUACAUUUUUAUACCUAUGUGUAAUGACCACCCAGAACAAGAUAGGCAUUUCCAGCAACCCAGAAAGUUUCUCUAUAGGUCUUCUUUGUUGAUAACCACUCCCUUUGUAGAUGUGAAUGCUAUUUUGACUUCUGUCAUCAUUUAUUAGCUUCACCAGUUCUUGAACAUCAUAUAAAUAGAACCAUACAAUGUGUUCUCUCUUCUCUCUGGUUUCUUUUACUCAAUGUAUGAUUUUUAGAUAAAUCCACAUUAUUUUGUGGAUUAGAAAGUUGUUAUAUUUUUCAUUUCUAUUUGAUAUUCAAUCAUAUAAAUAGACUACAAUUUGUUAGUCAUUCUCCAACUAAGGGAUAUUUGGGUUAUUUCCAGUUUGAGACCAUUACAAAUAAAGUAGCUAUGACAAUUCUUAAAUAAUUCUUUUUGUGGACACAUGCAUUCAUAUCUCUUGGGCAUAUGCUUAGGAGUGGAAUUGCUGGAAUAUAUUAUUUCUUAAUUAUUCUAGUAAAGCUCUCUGAGGUACUAGCACAAUUAUGAGACACUAGAAGAUGAGCAAUUAGCAUUUACUGGCUUCUCUUCAUUCUUACAAUUAUCACAAAUAAAAUAUUCAACAAAGUUAUGUGGAGUUGAACUUGAGUGAAUAAAUAUUAUCCAAUAUUCUAAGUAUAAAAAUCUUCAAAACAAUCAAUAUUCAAAUCUAUGGUGGCCCUAUGUAGCAAUUACAAGCUCAGCUAGUAGCCACAAACUAAAAGCCUAUGCAAAAAUGAAGAUGCUGAUGAAUUAAAGUGCAUCUGGAAAAAGGUGAAUGAAGAAAGGAACUUAGGAAUACCAAAACCCUUUUAAAUUCAAUCUUGAUUUUCAGCUCUCUGAAGGAUAGGUUUAAGAUGAGCUGAGUAAUUGCUAAUUGGACUGUAAUAAGCUAUGUUCGUUGUGAGCACACAAAGUAUAGGGCGUUGUUAAAUUCUUUGCCAAUCAUAGAAGAAAUCUAGUGGUUCAUGACAUACCUCCCCAAAACAUGUCAAUUAAGUGUAUUUCCUUUUUUUUUAGUUAUGUUUAUAUGCAACAAAAGUGGAAAUGUAAUUUUAAAAAAUUCUGUGAAAAUAUCCUUUCUGUUUAGAAAGGGAAUAAAGGUGAAUCUUACUCAUUUUCAUAGAAUGAAUUCUAAUUUAUCUAGAUACAAUAAUACAUAUAUGAUGCUUAUGAUUAUGGGUUAUUUUCAGAUCCUUAAAAACCCUGAAUGAGUCAUAUCUAGAGUGAUAGUCAUAACUUCAAAUUUACUUGUUUUUGUUGGCUUAAAUGAGAUUCUCAAUUUGAGGGCAAUAUAAGUUUAUUCACCUUUUCUAUUUUCAUAUAUUAUGGCUCUCUUUUACAAUAAACUUGCCUCAUCCUAAGUUUACAAAGCACUGCAUAAAAUAGUACAGAUCUCCUUCAGAUGCAACUGCAGACCACAUUUUGGAUAUCUAUAAAUGAUACAUUUGACUCAAUCAAAUUUAGAACUGGCAGAAAAAAACAAGGAAGGCCUGAGUUUCCAUUUAUGCAGACUCAGAGCAAAACCUCCCACUGUGGUUCAUAUCAAAUAAUGGGCUGUUAAAGAUUUGAGCAUUGUGUCUUUGCUGAUCAUUUUGUGCAUGUCACCUAGCUUCUCUACACCUCCGUUUCCUCAUUUGUAAAAAAUGGAGAAAACAAUCAUGCCUGCUUGAUGGUGAUGUUGUGAGAAAUACCUGUGAUCAUAAACAGAUAAUGCAGUACACAGUGUUUGGCACAUAGCAGGUGCUCAAUGAAUAUUAUCUGUUAUUCUUGAAAAAAAAAUUUAUGCUAUUUGAAAGUCCAGAAAAAUGGCAAAGGCCAACAUCUUUUCUUGAAAGAUAAUGUCUUCUAAAUUAAUUAACUCAACAAAUAUUUACAAGUAUUUGUAACAGUAUUUACAAACUGCCUAUUCCUGGGCUGGCACUAUUAUAGGCUCUGGAGAGAGAACAGUGAGCAAAACAAUCAAAAUCCCUCCCCUUGUGGGGCUUACAUGUCUUUGAACAGGAUAUCAAUUCUCUGAAAGAGAAGGGACACUCCUAUCUUGGCAAAGAUUGAGCACAAACUCAGAUACAUGGCUGAAUUCAGAUUUGCAAAAAUAAUAUCUUCUGGCAAAAGACUCCUUUGCUGAUCAACAAGUUCCAGCCUUUCAUGAUGCUCUUUUGGAAGAAAUGACUCCGUUUUUAGAAAAAUAUUUUCAUAUUUUUUUCUGUAGCAUUUCCUAACUACAAACUUCUUAAGUUAGAAUACCUUUCUCUAAUAUUGUUUCUAGACUACCUGAAAUUUUUUUCUAACACAGGUGAAAGUAAAGUCAUCCAGAAAGUUCCAAAUGUUGGAUUUGGCGCUGAGCUUAUCUGAUCUCAGCCAUGCUCUUAAUUACUUGUAUUUCCUUGGCCUAAUCAUUUCUUUCCUAGUCCUCCUAUUCAUAUGAGUAAAUGCAAGGGAUUGGUUUGAUUCCUAAAAUCUCUCUGAGUUCUUACAUUUCAAAAGUAUAUACAAUUUUAUCUCCAUUCAGCGACCAGAAAAAUUACCUUUAUUUUGUGGAGAGCUCUUUACUUUUAUUAACAAUAUUUUUGAGUUUAUUAAAUAAACUAAGAACCUGGGAAAUACAAUUUUUAAAAGCUGGAUCUGGUAUUCUUCUCCACUUCAUGGGGUAAAAAUGAAAUGGGCUCAAGUUCCCUCCAUGAUGGCAGCUUCUUUUGGAAAGACAAGAAAGCAGCUUCUUUUUUCCCCCAUGAUUAUUUUAAUAGCAUUUUCCACUAGAUACAUAAGUCAAAUGUCAGGAAGAUUUUAUUUGCUUGUUUGGAUAAACUAUAGAUUAAAUUUACUAUCACUUUUGGAUUUAAUUAAUUAAUGGCAAGAGAAUUGAUAAAUUCAGGCCAUCACAUAUUCUUUUCUGGUAUUUCAAUGAUUCCUACUCAUUCUUGCACUCAUUCAUGACAUUAAAAAAUGAUGGUGAUGAACAAAAUCAGAAAAGAGCUAAAGAAAUGGAGAGAUAUUCCAUGCUCAUGCAUAGGAAUUGUCAAGAUGUCAGUCCUCCCCAGACUGAUCUGUAGGUUCAAAGCAAUCUCAAUCAAAAUUGCAGCAGUAUUUUGCAGAUACCAACAUCUGAAAGUUUAUGCUAAAGUUUAUAUGGACAGUCAAAAGACCCAGAAUAGACAACACAAUAUUGAAGGAACAAAACAAAGUUGGAGAACUGACACUACCUGACAUUAAGGCUUACUAUAACACUAUAGUAAUCAGGACAAUGUGAUAAUUUAAAAAAAAAUAGCCACAUAGAUCAAUGGAACAGAAUAGAGAGCCCAGAAAUAGAUACCCAUAAAUAUAGUCAACUGACCUUUGACAAAGUAGAAUGGAGCAAAGAUAGUCCCUUCAACAAAUGAUGCUAGAACAACUGGACAUCUAUGUGCAAAAAAAUGAACCUAGAUAUAGACAUUACGUCCUUCACAAAAAUUAACUCAAACUGAAUCAUAGAUCUAAAUUUAGAAUGAAUGCAAAAUUCUCAAACUCUUAUGAGAUAACAUAGGAGAAAACCUAGGUGACCUUGGUAUAGCAAUAACUUUUUAGAUAUAACACCGAAGGCACAGUCCAUGAAGACAGCAUUAAUAAGCUGGACUUCAUUCAAAUGAAAAACUUCUGCUCUGCCGAAGAAAAUGUUAAGAGAAUGAGAAGACAAGCAACAGACUCGGAGAAAAUCUCUGCAAAGACAUAUCUGAUAAAAGACUGUUAUUCACAAUACACAAAGAACUCUUAAAAGUCAGUAGUAGGAAAACAAACCAUCCAAUUGAAAAAUGAGCCAAAGAUUUUAACAGACACCUCGCUGAAGAAGAUACAUAGAUGACAAGUAAGCAUAGGAAAAGAUGCUCCAUGUCUUACAUCAUCAAGGAAAUGCAAAUGGAAACAACAAUAAGAUACUACUACACACCUAUUAGAAUGGCCAAAAUUCAGAACACUAACAACACCAAAUGCUGGCCACGAUGUAGAGCAAGAGGAAUUCUCAUUCACUUCCUGGUGAGAAUACAAAAUGGGACGGCCACUUUGGAAGACAGUUUGGCAGAUUUCACAAAACUAAACAUACUCUUAUCAUUUGAUCCAGCAAUAGUGCUCCUUGGUAUUUAGGCAAAGGAGUUGAAAACUUAGGUCCACACAAAACCUGCACCCAAUUGCUCAUAGCAGCUUUAUUCAUAAUUGCCAAAACUUGGAAGCAACACAGAUAUCCCUCAGUAGGUGAAAGGAUAAAAAACUGUGGUACCUCUAGAUAAUAGAAUAUUAGUCAGUGCUAAAAAGAAGUCAGUUCUCAAGCCAUGAAAAGAAACAGUGAAAUUACUAAAUUUCACUUAGUAAUAUGCAUUACUAAGUGAAAGAAGCCCAUCUGAAAAGGCUACAUACCUUAUGACUCCGACUAUGUGGCGUUCUGAAAAGGGCAAAACU